UCCUGGGGAUGGGGGGUAGUAUUAGAUGUUCUAGAAACCUAAAAUUUUUGGCGGUUCUUUAGGCUAGUUAGAGGAACCUGUUCUGUGAUGGAUAUUCCACAUUAAGUUUAACUUUUUUUAUGGUUUAUAUACCGCCGUCGUAAAGUAAUUUUUAUAGGAAUUAUUUCUAUGUUAGGAUUGGAGGGAUGACAGGUCAAGGUGUAGCUGAUGGGAAAGGGUGAAAUGGGUUACAAUAUUAGAUUAGUAGUAUGGAUAUAAGAGGAGAAAAAUCUUUUUGAAGGAGGAUUUAAAAGUAAAAUUGGAAUUAGUAUGUGGGUUUGAUUUUAGCUCUAGGGGAUGU
rnacentral:rRNA from 1 species